rnacentral:rRNA from 1 species
UACAGAGGUGGCAAGCGUUGUUCGGAAUUACUGGGCGUAAAGGGCGCGUAGGCGGCCUGCUAAGUCGAACGUGAAAUCCCUGGGCUCAACCCAGGAACUGCGUCCGAUACUGGCAGGCUUGAAUCCGGGAGAGGGAUGUGGAAUUCCAGGUGUAGCGGUGAAAUGCGUAGAUAUCUGGAGGAACACCGGUGGCGAAGGCGGCAUCCUGGACCGGUAUUGACGCUGAUGCGCGAAAGCCAGGGGAGCAAACGGG